AAUAAGGGAAGUUACACAUAAAACAACAAGAACCCACAAUCUAAAGCCACCUAGUUGUAAUAUAUAAAUAUACAUGUGAUGCUGAAGACAGAGUUGGACUGAUUACAAUUUGGAAUACUUUGCUAAUUUAUUCCUUUAUUUGACUAAACAUCUCAUAAAACAGCUCAAAACUUUUUCCCUCUCAAAUGGAAUCCACACAGUCCUUGUUAAAGACAUGGCAGCUAGCCUGCAUUACAAGUUGCAACUCAACAAGUACACUUGAAAUCCUAUUCAAUAACAAUUCACACAUGAAAUUGAACCAUAUCUUAUACUCAAAAAUUAAUAAUAAUAAGAACUAACAUAUUUCUCCACUAUGUAGCUGAUUCUCCUUCCAUGAAACCCUAAACCUAAUCCAAAACAGUGAAACCGUUUUGUUUUGUUUUGUUUUGUUUUCUUUUUUUUGGAUGUUUGUUGCGAGGGUCGCGUGGUCGUGGGAGUGUCACCGAAAAAGGUCUCUCGAUGUGUGUAGAUACCAUUUCUACGGCCGCGCGGUGUGACGAGCGCUGGAGCAGUCAUCGUACACUGCGACCCCUGCCGUGCGCUGAUUGCAGAGUACCUUGCCAGGCAGAGUUCACACAAGCGCCGAGCCACGCAGACUUGGAAGUUUCUGGUGCAGGGGAGCAGGGUACGAUAGAGAAGAUGUGGUCUAGAGCCACUGCGGGAAAACGUGAUCAUCAGUGUGGUGGAUUCGGGGAUCUUGGCAGGCGACAAUCAGGGGCUCACCCCCCCCCCCCUCGGCUAGAUUUUCACCUUUCGCUCAAGCUUUUAGCCGAAGCGUUGCACCAUUUGGAUCAAACCUCUUUGGUAUGCAAAACGGGCACGUGGAUUUUUCUUUUCUCUUGCAAGGUAGACAAACUUUCUGUUCGGAAGCUAGCUCGCUGGCUCCAGCGGCACCCUGAAAUUCUGCAAAUCAACCAACACUAGGGACCGAAAAUCCUCGGAUGUCUGCCGCAACUUGUUACCGAUUGAUAGCGGAAUUUUGCUAUCCUCACGCAGGAUCGUUUCGAUAAUAUUCGCAAGCAACAGUCCCACAGAUCCAAGCACAUGGGAGACUGCCCCGAUUGAAACAGAUCAUGUGAUACAAGAGUUUUCGGUGUGUUUCCAUGUGCCGCCAAACAUCCAGCCAAUGUGGUGGUCUAGCGUUAACAAUGUUGCAGAUAGAAUUGAACAGUGUCUGGAAGACUGAGCCCUUGCCAUGGUGAAGGAUAUGGCUUACAUUGCUUGACUAUUUUUUAUAUACAGUCUUUUGCUUUUCAUAAUUUUGAACCAGAAAUAAUAUUCUUUUCCUGUGCAACGGAACUUAUUUCUAACACCACUGGGAACUAGGUUUUUCUUUUCUUAUCUUUUUUCUUGUGGCUUUUGCGUAGGCUAAAGUGAGUUUGCCAAGUAGCACAUUUUGGAACGUAUUGAAUUUGCUUAGCUUCUGGGAGCAGAUGGAGUCUGUAGUCAAUGCUGACGUCUGAGCAUGUUCUUAAGAAAUAUAUGUUAAAUUGGUUUUGUUUUAUUUGAGAUUGUGAUGGAAAGUAGAGUUGGGGACGGUGAUGAACGCAUUUGCUUUUAGUGUUAGAAUAAAAGCUGGGACAACUUCUAUGGAUUAGGAAGCUUAAUCCAUGUUGGAAAAUCAACCUGCAGGAAUUAUGCUUCCAUAUUGCUGAUUACAGGUGCUUCUUUCUGUCACUUACCACAAAUACCCGAUGUAAAUCACUACAAUUUGAUUUUUUUUUUUUUUAACAUAGGCUGCUUUGAAUCCAUGGAAGAGUGUUUCCACCCAUGCCUUGCUGCGUGGUUGUGCAAUAUCCCUCAAAGUGUUGAGAUCCACAAUUGAAUUCAAUAUUGCACUGGGUGCACCCCAAAGUCUACACUGUUCAGAAGCCCAGAGUCUCUGAGCUGUUAUAGUGAUUAUUAAUGGUGAUUUGGCAGUUAUGAUGGAGGUAUACUUUUGGUCUAGCAGCCCCCAUCACACCCUGUGUAUUGUAUUUAAGCUCACAUCUGGUGGGGCUUGUGCAAGUUUUGCAGUGCCCCUGUUAUGGGUGCAGCAUAAGGUCAGAUCAAUGUUGGUUAGGUUCUUUCGAAGUGGGCUUUACAUACUCCAAUUGUCAUGUACUCAAGCUCAUGCAGUAAAAUUUAAAUUUUGGGGUAGUUGAAUGUCAAACAUGUCACAAAUGCAUGACAACAAAAGGUGGGAGGAAUUCCAGAGUGGAAAUAGCCAUGAUGCCAAGCAACUUCAAACUGUUCACAUGUGCUGGAAGCUUCAGGAUGGAUUCCACUCUAGAAAUGCCUGGCUAGUUUUAGCAACCUCCGCAUUGAUUAAAGCAGGGGGAGGCAUAAACAGACAAAAAACCCACCUCAUCCCAAGUACCAAUCUCAAUUUGGAUUUCAAUGAAUGGACAUGAACUUUGUUAAGAUUUGCUAUUCAUGUUUUAGCUCAAGACUCUCUUUGAGACAAAUCCAACAUAUAGCCAACCUAAUUCCAACCAUGGUUGGUUACAAAAUCAAGAAUGCUUGAUUUCAACCAAUUUUUAUGACUUGGUAUAAAAUUAUUAAUUUCUUGUCCAAUGGUGCCAUAGAGAAGGCAAAAUGAAUUAAGUAAUGUGAAACCACAAGGUGUGAGAAUUUAUCAUUAUUAUCAUGUCAAGUUGAUCAGAAAUACACCAUCUUAUAGGUUGAAAAUGGAGAGGGAGGUGGUUGAGAAUGGGUUGGCUACUUUUAGGAGUAAACCAUGAGACCCUUGCUUUGAAAUAAGUUCAUGCAUGGCAUAGCAAUGAGAUUAUGACUAUGUUGUUGGGUGCAUUAAACCUUUGUUGUAGUUUUCCAUUUGGGCACUAUUCUAGUCAAUGAGAAUCACUCAUGGACUAGGUACAAGGGCAAUGGGGAAUUUGGUACCAUAAUACAUUUGAAUGAAUAUCCUAAGUCAUCUCCAUGUUUGUGUAAUGUGUCUCUUCAUGUUGAAUCUUGGCCAAAGGGAAGACAAAUAAGUUCCCCAAACUAGAGUAAAGCUUACAAGAAAACAGUUGAAUAGCUAAGACCAAAGUGGCCAAAGAGUAUAAUAACCAUACAAUGCAGAUAAUCACAUUGGACAAAUGAAGUGAACCAAAAUCUUCAUGGCUAGUUAGAAUCAAACAUGGGCUGAGUUCAUUGCAAUAUACUACUUAUACUAUGCAAUUCUACAUCAAAUGGCACAUGUUUUGUUAUGGAAAACAUUGGAACAUUUGUGCAAAAAAAAUUGCUAUCUCCCUUGCCAUGUUAUUCCUAAAAUAUACAACAAUAGGUGGAAGCAAAAUCAAUUGCUCCUAAACUUAACCCUAAGAAUGAAAUUAGAAGUUCCUAGUAAUCACAUAUCAGCAUGUGGCAGAGAAUAUGUACUCAUGCCCUCUCCACACCUCCAGUUGCACCAUGGAAAUUGGCUUUGCCCAAAGCAUCAAACCAAAGGAUCACCCAUUACUUCAGCGUUCUACACUAUUGUUGAGUGAGGCCGACCAGAGAGAAUGGUGGUCUAAUAUGGGGCCUUAGAUUGAGAUGAUGUUGGGCAAGGUAGCUGUAGGGGGAACCUGUGGCUGAAUUGACUCCUUUUU